rnacentral:rRNA from 1 species
CCCUUAGAUGUUCUGGGCCGCACGCGCGCUACACUGUUUGAUUCAGCGAGUCUUAACCUUGACCGAAAGGUUUGGGUAAUCUUCUAAAGUCAAACGUGAUGGGGAUCGAUCAUUGCAAUUAUCGAUCGUGAACGAGGAAUUCCUAGUAAAUGCAAGUCAUCAGCUUGCGUUGAUUACGUCCCUGCCCUUUGUACACACCGCCCGUCGCUACUACCGAUUGAAUGGUUUAGUGAGAUCUCCGGAUUGGCUCUGUAGGUCCCGCAAGGGAUUUAUUAGUAGCCAAGAAGCUGCUCAAACUUGAUCAUUUAGAGGAAGUAAAAGUCGUAACA